rnacentral:rRNA from 1 species
AGAAUGAACGCUGGCGGCAUGCCUAACACAUGCAAGUCGAACGAAGGCUUCGGCCUUAGUGGCGCACGGGUGCGUAACGCGUGGGAAUCUGCCCCUUGGUUCGGAAUAACAGUUGGAAACGACUGCUAAUACCGGAUGACGACGUAAGUCCAAAGAUUUAUCGCCGAGGGAUGAGCCCGCGUAGGAUUAGCUAGUUGGUGUGGUAAGAGCGCACCAAGGCACGAUCCUUAGCUGGUCUGAGAGGAUGAUCAGCCACACUGGGACUGAGACACGGCCCAGACUCCUACGGGAGCAGCAGUGGGGAAUAUGGACAAUGGGCGAAAGCCUGAUCCAGCAAUGCCGCGUGAGUGAUGAAGGCCUUAGGGUUGUAAAGCUCUUUACCGGGAUGAUAUGACAGUACGGAGAAUAAGCUCCGGCUAACUCCGUGCCAGCAGCCGAC